rnacentral:rRNA from 1 species
GACGAACGCUGGCGGCGUGCUUAACACAUGCAAGUCGAACGGUGAAGCGCCUUCCUUUUUGGUGGGUGUGGAUGAGUGGCGAACGGGUGAGUAACACGUGAGUAACCUGCCCCCUUCUUCUGGAUAACCGCAUGAAAGUGUGGCUAAUACGGGAUAUUCUGGGUCUGUCGCAUGAUGGGUCUGGGAAAGAUAUUGUUUCGGUGGGGAUGGGCUCGCGGCCUAUCAGCUUGUUGGUGGGGUGAUGGCCUACCAAGGCGGUGACGGGUAGCCGGCCUGAGAGGGUGGACGGUCACACUGGGACUGAGACACGGCCCAGACUCCUACGGGAGGCAGCAGUGGGGAAUAUUGCACAAUGGGCGCAAGCCUGAUGCAGCGACGCCGCGUGAGGGAUGGAGGCCUUCGGGUUGUGAACCUCUUUCGCCAGUGAAGCAGGCCUGCCUCGUUUGUGGGUGGGUUGACGGUAGCUGGAGAAGAAGCGCCGGCUAACUACGUG